UGGGGAAUAUUGGACAAUGGGCGAAAGCCUGAUCCAGCCAUGCCGCGUGAGUGAAGAAGGUCUUCGGAUUGUAAAGCACUUUAAGUUGGGAGGAAGGGCAGUAAGCGAAUACCUUGCUGUUUUGACGUUACCGACAGAAUAGGCACCGGCUAACUCUGUGCCAGCAGCCGCGGUAAUACAGAGGGUGCAAGCGUUAAUCGGAAUUACUGGGCGUAAAGCGCGCGUAGGUGGUUCGUUAAGUUGAAUGUGAAAGCCCCGGGCUCAACCUGGGAACUGCAUCAAAAACUGGCGAGCUAGAGUAGGGCAGAGGGUGGUGGAAUUUCCUGUGUAGCGGUGAAAUGCGUAGAUAUAGGAAGGAACACCAGUGGCGAAGGCGACCACCUGGGCUCAUACUGACACUGAGGUGCGAAAGCGUGGGGAGCAAACAGG
rnacentral:rRNA from 1 species